rnacentral:rRNA from 1 species
GGCGAACGGGUGAGUAACGCGUGAGCAAUCUACCUUAGUUACAGGGAUAGCCCGAGGAAACUCGGAUUAAUACCUGAUAUUCUUUAUUUCUCGCAUGAGAAUAAAAGGAAAGGUCAGCCGAACUAAGAUGAGCUCGCGUUCUAUCAGCUAGUUGGUGAGGUAAAAGCUUACCAAGGCUACGACGGAUAGCUGGUCUGAGAGGACGAUCAGCCACACUGGGACUGAGACACGGCCCAGACUCCUACGGGAGGCUGCAGCAGGGAAUAUUGUGCAAUGAACGAAAGUUUGACACAGCGACACCGCGUGUGGGAUGACGGAUCUAGGUUUGUAAACCACUUUCAGGAGGGAAGAAAAUGACGGUACCUCCACAAGAAGCCCCGGCCAACUACGUGCCAGCAGCCGCGGUAAUACGUAGGGGGCGAGCGUUGUCCGGAUUUAUUGGGCGUAAAGAGCUC